GCAUAUCAAUAAGCGGAGGAAAAGAAACCAACAGGGGAUUGCCCUAGUAACGGCGAAGUGAAGCGGCAACAGCUCAAAUUUGAAAUCUGGCCCCCGGGUCCGAGUUGUAAUUUGUAGAGGAUGCUUUUGGUGCGGUACCUUCCGAGUGCCCUGGAACGGGACGCCAUAGAGGGUGAGAGCCCCGUCUGGUUGGACGCCAAUCCUUUGUAAAGCUCCUUCAACGAGUCGAGUAGUUUGGGAAUGCUGCUCUAAAUGGGAGGUAUAUGUCUUCUAAAGCUAAAUAUUGGCCAGAGACCGAUAGCGCACAAGUAGAGUGAUCGAAAGAUGAAAAGCACUUUGAAAAGAGAGUUAAAAAGUACGUGAAAUUGUUGAAAGGGAAGCGCUCAUGACCAGACUUGGGCUUGGUUGAUCAUCCAGGGUUCUCCCUGGUGCACUCUUCCGGCCCAGGCCAGCAUCAGUUCGCUGUGGGGGAUAAAGGCUUCGGGAAUGUGGCUCCCUCGGGAGUGUUAUAGCCCGUCGUGUAAUACCCUGUGGUGGACUGAGGUUCGCGCAUUCGCAAGGAUGCUGGCGUAAUGGUCAUCAGCGACCCGUCUUGAAACACGGACCAAGGAGUCGUCUUCGUAUGCGAGUGUUCGGGUGUCAAACCCCUACGCGUAAUGAAAGUGAACGCAGGUGAGAGCUUCGGCGCAUCAUCGACCGAUCCUGAUGUUCUCGGAUGGAUUUGAGUAAGAGCAUACGGGGCCGGACCCGAAAGAAGGUGAACUAUGCCUGUAUAGGGUGAAGCCAGAGGAAAACUCUGGUGGAGGCUCGCAGCGGUUCUGACGUGCAAAUCGAUCGUCAAAUAUGGGCAUGGGGGCGAAAGACUAAUCGAACCUUCUAGUAGCUGGUUUCCGCCG
rnacentral:rRNA from 1 species